rnacentral:rRNA from 1 species
GAUGAACGCUGGCGGCGUGCUUAACACAUGCAAGUCGAACGAAGCAUUUGCGACAGAUUUUUUCGGAAUGAAGUUGCUUAUGACUGAGUGGCGGACGGGUGAGUAACGCGUGGGUAACCUGCCUUGUACUGGGAGAUAGCAGCUGGAAACGGCUGGUAAUACCGCAUAAGCGCACAAUGUUGCAUGACAUGGUGUGAAAAACUCCGGUGGUAUAAGAUGGACCCGCGUCUGAUUAGCUAGUUGGUGAGAUAACAGCCCACCAAGGCGACGAUCAGUAGCCGACCUGAGAGGGUGACCGGCCACAUUGGGACUGAGACACGGCCCAGACUCCUACGGGAGGCAGCAGUGGGGAAUAUUGCACAAUGGAGGAAACUCUGAUGCAGCGACGCCGCGUGAGUGAAGAAGUAAUUCGUUAUGUAAAGCUCUAUCAGCAGGGAAGAUAGUGACGGUACCUGACUAAGAAGCUCCGGCUAAAUACGUG